UACGGAAGGGGCAAGCGUUGUUCGGAAUUAUUGGGCGUAAAGCGCGUGUAGGCGGCUUUGCAAGUCGGGUGUGAAAUCCCUCAGCUUAACUGAGGAAGUGCGCCCGAAACUGCCGAGCUUGAGUACCGGAGAGGGUGGCGGAAUUCCCCAAGUAGAGGUGAAAUUCGUAGAUAUGGGGAGGAACACCGGUGGCGAAGGCGGCCACCUGGACGGAUACUGACGCUGAGACGCGAAAGCGUGGGGAGCAAACAGG
rnacentral:rRNA from 1 species